UGGGGAAUAUUGCGCAACGGGCGAAAGCCUGACGCAGCGACGCCGCGUGAGGGAUGAAGGUCCUCGGAUCGUAAACCUCUGUCAGGGGGGAAGAAGCGCCUGUGAGCAAAUAGUUCAUGGGUUUGACGGUACCCCCAAAGGAAGCACCGGCUAACUCCGUGCCAGCAGCCGCGGUAAUACGGAGGGUGCGAGCGUUAAUCGGAAUCACUGGGCGUAAAGCGCACGUAGGUGGCGUGGUAAGUCGGGGUGAAUCCCGCAGCUCAACUGUGGAACUGCCUUCGAUACUGUCAUGCUUGAGUAUCGGAGAGGGUGGCGGAAUUCCAGGUGUAGGAGUGAAAUCCGUAGAUAUCUGGAGGAACAUCAGUGGCGAAGGCGACUAUCUGGCACAUAACUGACACUGAGGAGCGAAAGCGUGGGGUAGCAAACAGGAUUAGAUACC
rnacentral:rRNA from 1 species